AUUGAACGCUGGCGGCAGGCCUAACACAUGCAAGUCGAGCGGAGCGGCGGACGGGUGAGUAAUGCCUAGGAAUCUGCCUGGUAGUGGGGGAUAACGUCAGGAAACGGGCGCUAAUACCGCAUACUAUCAGAUGAGCCUAGGUGUGAUUAGCUAGUUGGUGGGGUAAAGGCCUACCAAGGCGACGAUCCGUACCUGGUCUGAGAGGAUGAUCAGUCACACUCGAAUUGAGACAUGGUCCAGACUCCUACGGUGUGCACCAGUGGGGAAUAUUGGACAAUGGGCGAAAGCUUGAUCCAGCCAUGACGCUUGUGUGAAGAAGGUCUUCGGAUUUUAAAGCACUUUAAGUUGGGAGGCGUUACCAACAGAAUAAGCACCGGCUAACUUCGUGCCAGCAGCCGCGGUAAUAC
rnacentral:rRNA from 1 species